CCAAUAGCGUAUAUUAAAGUUGUUGCAGUUAAAAAGCUCGUAGUUGAACUUCAGGCCUGUCCAGAUGGUCCGCCUUAAUUGGUGUGUACUGUCCUUGGGUGGGUCCUACCUUCUGGCGAAGCGGCAUGGCCUUAGUUGGUUGUGUCGGGGAAGCAGGACUUUUACUGUGAAAAAAUUAGAGUGUUCAAAGCAGGCAUAUAUGCUCGAAUACAUUAGCAUGGAAUAAUGGAAUAGGACGAUGGUUCUAUUUUGUUGGUUCUAGGACCGUUGUAAUGAUUAAUAGGGAUAGUUGUGGGCAUUAGUAUUCAAUUGUCAGAGGUGAAAUUCUUGGAUUUAUUGAAGACUAACUACUGCGAAAGCAUUUGCCAAGGAUGUUUUCAUUAAUCAAGAACGAAAGUUAGGGGAUCGAAGACGAUCAGAUACCGUCGUAGUCUUAACCAUAAACUAUGCCGACUAGGAAUCGGGCGAUGUUGACAAAAUGACUCGCUCGGCACCUCAUG
rnacentral:rRNA from 1 species